UCAAAACCAGAAAUCAAAGACCAAAAAAAGAUCAAAUUUUAGAUUUAGUGCGUGGUGUCACGCUACGGUACUGGAAUAUAUUUAAUCGAGCGGAAAUAUAGCCUUCGUUUGGGAACGAAGUUAUAAAGUUCGUCCCAAAGAGACGUACAUAUACAUUAGCUUGUUGUGGGGCGUUUGAAGAAAUGUACGCCUGGUAUGGGGCGUACAUAUAAUCCACGCGGGUACAAGGGACGGAGAUAUUACGCCUCUUCCUCCUCCUUCAUAUCCACCACCAACAACAACACAUCUGCUGCCACCAACCGGUUACGACGUUCAGAUCUGACAGCAACACCAUCUCCCCCAUCACCUCCUCCUCCACCUUCACCACCAGCAACAUCACCUUCUCGAUUAAUAUGCUGACAAAUCUCUUAAAUUCAAGAUCUUGAUUUGCAGGUGCUGGUAUUUUGUAUUGGUAUCUAUGAAUUUGGGAAAUCUCAAUUGAAAAAAUUCUGGUGCUGGUAUUUCUGUGCUAGGUUCUAUGAAUUUUGGAAAUCUUUGGAUUUCAGCAUGGAAAAAAUUCUUUCACCAGAAGCUAGUCGUCUGCAAUCAGAAUUUGCAAAAAGUGAGUUAUUGACUUCUUCUUUUUCUGUUAAAUAGGAGCGUGAGUUCUUAUAGAUAAAUUAUUACCAUACAAUAUGUUUUGUAAUCUCAAUAUAUGAGUUCUUAUAACAAUCAUACAUUUGCCAAGUAUUUCUUGUUACUUAGUGAAUCAUAUCAGUUUUUUUUGGACAAUUAAAUUACUUUUAAGUAACAUAAACUGCAUUUGCUACACCAAGAAAGAUUGUAUUGACGAAACUAAAUUUUGUUAGUAACAUUUUUUUGUUGAAACCAAUUUUGGUUUCAUCUGAUUUUUUUCAUUUUCUAUGAAAUCAGUUUUGGUUUCAUUUUAUUUUGAAGUUUUUAUCAACGAAACCCCUAGUAAUAUAGUUAUUUUCUGUUUUGGUGGCGUCUGGUUGGUGUUUAUGGAAGCGGUAACGGCGGUGGCGCAGUGGAGAUGGUGGUGGCCGAUAAUGGCGGUGGCGAGGUAAUGGUAGUGGUGGUUAUGGUUCUAGUGGUUGUGGCGGCGAUGGGGGUGGUGCAUAAAGAUAGUUGCAAGUAUGCAAGAUCUUCUAGGGAUUGGAGAGUACAGCCCUAGUUCGACCAACUUUCAUUGAUUAUAAAACACUCAAGAGUACAUUUAUGAUGAAACCAAUUUCGGUUUCAUCUAAAUUUGGUGAAACCGAUUUUGGUUUCAUCUAAUCUUGCCUUAUUUUUCUUUUGAAAUUUUUCGGUGAAACCAACGUUGUUGGUGAUAAAUAAUAUUCUAUUGAAACAAGUAUUGAUUUCAUCUGCAUUUGA